CUCGCACAUUUAUUUUUAUAGCCCAUCGAGAACAAAUCUCUCAUUGGUUAAAAAGGACAACAAAAGUGUAAAAAAAAUAUGCAUAACAAUAUCCACUUCAAACACGAGAGAUUUUAUGUCAUUGUUCAAACAGUGUACCAGUCAAGAUAGUUCUAUUAUUUGACAUUGUAAUAGCCUUGUGGUAUUGUCAAUCUCAUUCGUGCGGUUUAAAGGUAUACGCCUGCUCGACAGAAAACGAUUUUAUUUUCUAUAUAACUGUGGGAUAAUCGUAGCAUUUGGAAUUCAUUUGUUGGUUCGCAGUGGACACACCCUGAAGCUGUAUCAGUUGUACGAUCAACGUUGGUAUAGCAUUUCGUUUUAAGGGCCUUUAUCAAUAGCAGUAAGGGCAUCAAGUAUUAUACUUUGUCAUUUGUACACAAUGCCAGUGAAUCCGGACAAGUCAGGUCCAACAUCGGUUCAGACGUCGGGAGACAAAGAGCCGCCUAAGGGGUUGAAGCCGCCUAAGGGUGAUGAAGCUACCCAAGAAACGAAACAAUAAUGCAUACUGAAAUUACAUAUAAGGAAAAUAACUUUCAACGAAUUAUACACCUUUCAUCAAUGACAGUGCAUCCUUGUUCGAAUAAAAUAAGAGCCGCAGGCCUAUUUUAAUUUUUAAAAUUGCUUGUAAACACGGAUGACGUGGACAAAGUCAGCAUCAUCAGUGUACCAGUCAACAUUGGAGAUGCCAAUCAUUUAACAUUAAAUAUAUAUAUAUAUAUAAAUAGAUGUAUCAUUAUUUUGUCAACAUGCACCAAUAUAAAUUUAAUG